AGUGAACGCUGGCGGUAGGCCUAACACAUGCCAGUCGAACGGCAGCACAGUAAGAGCUUGCUCUUACGGGUGGCGAGUGGCGGACGGGUGAGGAAUACAUCGGAAUCUACUUUUUCGUGGGGGAUAACGUAGGGAAACUUACGCUAAUACCGCAUACGACCUACGGGUGAAAGCAGGGGAUCUUCGGACCUUGUGCGAUUGAAUGAGCCGAUGUCGGAUUAGCUAGUUGGCGGGGUAAAGGCCCACCAAGGCGACGAUCCGUAGCUGGUCUGAGAGGAUGAUCAGCCACACUGGAACUGAGACACGGUCCAGACUCCUACGGGAGGCAGCAGUGGGGAAUAUUGGACAAUGGGCGCAAGCCUGAUCCAGCCAUACCGCGUGGGUGAAGAAGGCCUUCGGGUUGUAAAGCCCUUUUGUUGGGAAAGAAAAGCAGCAGGUUAAUACCCCGCUGUUCUGACGGUACCCAAAGAAUAAGCACCGGCUAACUUCGU
rnacentral:rRNA from 1 species